AGCGAACGCUGGCGGCAGGCUUAACACAUGCAAGUCGAGCGGGCCUUUCGGGGUCAGCGGCGGACGGGUGAGUAACGCGUGGGAACGUGCCCUCUGGUUCGGAAUAACUCAGGGAAACUUGAGCUAAUACCGGAUACGCCCUUUUGGGGAAAGGCUUGCUGCCGGAGGAUCGGCCCGCGUCUGAUUAGCUAGUUGGUGAGGUAACGGCUCACCAAGGCGACGAUCAGUAGCUGGUCUGAGAGGAUGAUCAGCCACACUGUGACUGAGACACGGCCCAGACUCCUACGGGAGGCAGCAGUGGGGAAUAUUGGACAAUGGGCGCAAGCCUGAUCCAGCCAUGCCGCGUGAGUGAUGAAGGCCUUAGGGUUGUAAAGCUCUUUUAUCCGGGACGAUAAUGACGGUACCGGAGGAAUAAGCCCCGGCUAACUUCGUG
rnacentral:rRNA from 1 species